GGGAGUUUGGCCGAGUGGUUAAGGCGUCGUGUUUAGGUCCUGCCGAAAGGCAUACCAUAAAUCCCGCGAUGGGAAACCGCGCAGGUUCGAAUCCUGCAGCUCUCA